GAGUUAAUUAGGCGGAGGGAUCUCACGAGGUUGUUGUGAUUUUGUUUUCCGGCUUCUAAUUUGAAACCUGUUCAGAAUAUCCCAACAGCAGCCUGUAUCCUCAACUGUUUUACACUGUGGAGAUACAUUGCUGCGUCUUUGUGGAGCUUCAGUGGCAGGCUCUCAAGCCCCAAGAACUGAGGGUGAAAUUGAAGCUGAUGUAUGCAGACAGGAGCCCCUAAGAUGGACACAACACCUGCCUGGUAGCUUUGAGCUCAGCACCUCCCCAGCACUAACUGCCUCAGACAGCCCCAGCCAGAGAUGAGGUUGGCACAAACAAGGGGCACUUGGUCCACAUCUGCCAACCGUCCCCAAUACAAAGCCUGACAGUUGGCAUUUCAGUGGUCCUCUAACUACUCCAUUUCUCUGGAUUUGGCUCUGCUCUCCAGGACGAAAGCAGAAGACUGGAAAAGCUUAAUCUUCAUUCAAACUGUGCAUGGAGUCAUUCGCAUGCAGGAUUACAUAUACGCCUCGGGGAGAUAUGAAUUAUUUAUUGUGAGAUGCAAGAUUUGUUGGUCGUUCAGCUCGUUUCAUGCAUGCACUGAUCAUAAAAGACCAAAUGUAUAAACUUUCACUAAUAUUUGGCUGAACAACAAUUCAAGGACAAAGACUGUCUUGUUCAUUGUUUCC